UGGUUGGUUUUUUAGAUGGAUAGGUACUUCUUUUCGUUGUUAUCAAGCGUUGGGAUUGCGUAUAUGUGUACAAAAAUGUAUUUAAAUAUAUAUUAUUCUGUUUAGUGUCUAAAUUAAUAAAGUUUUUAAAUGAUAUUCGCUUAAAUAUAAAUGUAAAAACCAAAAGAGUAUACUACACUAAAUUCCUAAUUUUAUGUGUACAUGACUAAGAAGAUCUGCUUGUAACAACAAAUUUUAGUGAGAAAGUCAGUGAAAAGAAAAUUGACAAACAAGUAAAACAUACAUUAAAGGAGAUGACAAAGAAGCAAAUUUAAUGUUAUGUUCUUGGAGUACAGUAAAUUGUGGACAACAUUUUCCGGUUAAGAUUUAGCAUAUAACUGAGCUUAUAUUAUUUAGCUCCGUAAUUUGUACGAUUGCUUAAAGUGCAUACAUGCAUUCAAUCAAAUUUAUUUAUUUACCAAUGCAAAGUCAGUACCAAGUGGCAAAUUCGGGAAAGUUAGAAUCGUCAUCGUCUUCAAGAAUUUGUUAUUUUUGGACCUAAUUUAAGAUUACUUGGAUUUCAUAGCUCUAUUAGAGACAGCGACGAUAAUUGAGUUUAGCUUCGAGUUUGAGAGAAAUCAAUUUUAAUAAAAUGUGGAACUCUGAUCCCAGUCAAACUAGUGGUACUCAGUCACAAAAUGUGCAAAAUGGUCGCUCUACAACAACUUCACCACAACAGCCAGUUAAGCAGUUAGGAAUGACCUCGGCUAUAAGUUUGGCAGAUCCACGACCUGAAGAUUUACAAAAAACUGACGAUUUGAAAAAAUGUUUGGAACCGUAUCAAGUUUUUGAAACACAAGAUGAACUGAAUCAUCGCAUGGAAAUUUUAGCUAAAUUAAACACGCUUGUCAAACAGUGGGUUAAAGAUGUAUCUGUUUCUAAAAAUAUGCCAGAAGUAGCAGCAGAAAAGUUGGGUGGAAAAAUUUAUACAUUUGGCUCCUAUAGACUUGGAGUACACCAUAAAGGCGCCGAUAUUGAUGCGUUAUGUGUUGCCCCACGUAAUAUUGAACGCACUGAUUAUUUUACUUCCUUUUUUGAUUUACUUAAAAGGCAGUCAGAAGUAACUGAAUGCAGAGCAGUAGAAGAGGCGUUUGUACCGGUUAUAAAAAUGAAUUUUGAUGGUAUUGAAAUCGAUUUACUUUUCGCAAGACUUUCACUUAAAGAGAUACCCGAUGACUUUGAUUUACGAGAUGAUAACUUACUUAAAAAUUUAGAUCCACGCUCUGUCCGUAGUUUAAACGGUUGUCGUGUUACAGAUGAAAUCUUGGCACUUGUGCCUAAUAUUGAAAAUUUCCGUUUAGCACUACGCACCAUUAAACUAUGGGCAAAAAAACAUGGAAUAUAUUCAAAUUCACUAGGAUACUUUGGAGGAGUUACAUGGGCUAUGCUUGUUGCACGUACUUGUCAACUUUAUCCAAAUGCUGUUGCUGCGACACUAGUUCACAAAUUCUUCUUGGUGUUUUCACGUUGGAAGUGGCCUAAUCCUGUUUUACUUAAACAUCCAGAUAAUGUAAAUUUACGUUUUCCGGUCUGGGAUCCUCGUGUUAAUGUAUCAGAUCGUUAUCAUUUAAUGCCAAUAAUUACACCAGCAUAUCCACAACAGAAUUCUACAUUUAAUGUUUCCGAAUCAACAAAGAAAGUAAUUCUUAAUGAAUUUAAUCGUGGUAUGACAACAACCGAUGAAAUUAUGCUAGGACGUGCUUCUUGGGACCGGUUGUUUGAAGCGCCAAGUUUUUUCUACAGUUAUCGACAUUUUAUUGUACUUUUGGUUAGUUCAAUAACUGCUGAAGAUCAUCUUGAAUGGUGUGGUCUUGUCGAAUCAAAAAUUCGUUUACUAAUUGGAUAUUUAGAAAGGAAUGAACAUAUUUCUUUAGCACAUGUUAAUCCUAAAUGUUUCGAGUACAAGAAGGGGGAAAAAAGCUUGCAAAAUAGUAGCGGCAAUGAAGAUGAUAAGUCUCAAAAUUCGCAAGUUGUAUCUUCCUCUCCAUAUUGUUCAAUGUGGUUUAUUGGUUUGGAGUUUAAGCGCACCGAAAAUUUAAACGUUGACUUAACAGAAAAUAUACAAAAUUUUACUGAACAUGUUAUACACCAUGGUGUAAAUAUAAAAAUGUUGAAGGAGGGUAUGUUAAUUGAAGCGCGUCAUGUAAAACGUAAACAACUUUCCUUAUACUUGGAUGCAGAUUUUUUAAAACGUGAAAGGAAAUCUAUGGAAACGCAUACUUCAUUUAAUAACAUGGUUAUGGCAAAUAGACAGCGUUAUUCUACGGAACUAGCACAAACAUCGCAAAAGGAUAAUGGCAGUACUAAGCGUAUGCGAUUAAGUGAAUCACGCAAUGACGAUAAUUCAAAUGCUUCAAGUGACACUGGUGGCACUACACCGACUAUGCAGAAGCCUGCUCCUACAUUUGUAAAUGCAUCAAAUACUUCAAUUAAUGACAGAAGUUGUUCUGAAGAUAAUGCAAUUAAUAGCCAGUCUUUACAGCUUAGUGGCAGCAGCAGCAGUGGAAACACUAAUACAAACAAUUCCACAACAACUGAAGUAGCAUGCUCGUGACCGUCAUCAAUUCCAUAUAAUUCACAUAAAACAAUAUCCCCCAUUCCACCACAUAUACAAAAAUUUCGUAAAAAUAACAAUGCUGCCGCUGCUGCUAAUUCGAAUAGUAUAUUUAGUCAAAGAUCGUCACUAAAUCAUAACUGCACAGGCAUUUAUAAACAAAAUCUUAAUUUAAAUACACAAUACCACAGAAAUAAAAGAGCUUUACCAACUAAUCUUACCUCUAAAAUAGAACCAAUUUCUGCGAAGCUUGCAAAGAACAACAGCAGAAUAAAUGUUUCUGAUACAUCUUCAAAUAAUCCUAAUCAAUCUUAUCCAUCAAACCAUGGAAAUAAUGACACGGAUGAAAUGAUUACUACAUCUACAACAUCAAUUGCAGACACUACUAUUACUUGAUUUAAAACAACAUAUAAGCUAUAUAAGACUGCAAAUAGUAAACACUUUCCCAAAAAUUAAUUAUUGACAGGAUGAAGUUUUGAUUAGUAGUAAAUAACUUAAAAAAAAUAAAAAAAAUAUUG